UGGGGAAUUUUGGACAAUGGGGGCAACCCUGAUCCAGCCAUUCCGCGUGAGUGAAGAAGGCCUUCGGGUUGUAAAGCUCUUUCGGCAGGAACGAAACGGCGCGCUCUAACAUAGCGCGUUAAUGACGGUACCUGAAGAAGAAGCACCGGCUAACUACGUGCCAGCAGCCGCGGUAAUACGUAGGGUGCGAGCGUUAAUCGGAAUUACUGGGCGUAAAGCGUGCGCAGGCGGUUGUGUAAGACAGGUGUGAAAUCCCCGGGCUUAACCUGGGAACUGCGCUUGUGACUGCACGGCUAGAGUAUGGCAGAGGGGGGUGGAAUUCCACGUGUAGCAGUGAAAUGCGUAGAGAUGUGGAGGAACACCGAUGGCGAAGGCAGCCCCCUGGGCCAAUACUGACGCUCAUGCACGAAAGCGUGGGGAGCAAACA
rnacentral:rRNA from 1 species